rnacentral:rRNA from 1 species
GCAGUAGCCGCGGUAAUACGAGGGGGGCAAGCGUUGUUCGGAAUUAUUGGGCGUAAAGGGCGCGUAGGCGGUUUGGCAAGUUUGGUGUGAAAUCUUCGGGCUCAACUCGAAGUCUGCACCGAAAACUGCCGGGCUUGAGUAUGGGAGAGGUGAGUGGAAUUUCCGGUGUAGCGGUGAAAUGCGUAGAUAUCGGAAGGAACACCUGUGGCGAAAGCGGCUCACUGGACCAUUACUGACGCUGAGGCGCGAAAGCUAGGGGAGCAAACAGGAUUAGAUACCCCAGUAGUCCCUGUCUCUUAUAC